rnacentral:rRNA from 1 species
AACGCGAAGAACCUUACCAGGCCUUGACAUGCAGAGAACUUUCCAGAGAUGGAUUGGUGCCUUCGGGAAUCUAGAUACAGGUGCUGCAUGGCUGUCGUCAGCUCGUGUCGUGAGAUGUUGGGUUAAGUCCCGCAACGAGCGCAACCCUUUUCCUUACUUGCCAGCAUUUCGGAUGGGAACUUUAAGGAUACUGCCAGUGACAAACUGGAGGAAGGCGGGGACGACGUCAAGUCAUCAUGGCCCUUACGACCAGGGCUACACACGUGCUACAAUGGCGCAUACAAAGAGAAGCGACCUCGCGAGAGCAAGCGGACCUCAUAAAGUGCGUCGUAGUCCGGAUUGGAGUCUGCAACUCGACUCCAUGAAGUCGGAAUCGCUAGUAAUCGUGGAUCAGAAAGCCGCGGUGAAUACGUUCCCGGGUCUUGUACACACCG